GGGAGAGAGAGAGAAAAAGAGAGUUGACGAGGGGAUCAGAAACUUACCCACAACCCCUGGAUCGCCCACUUGGAUGAAACCACA